UAUCACAGCUGCUUUGAUGAGUG
rnacentral:miRNA from 1 species